AUUGAACGCUGGCGGCAGGCCUAACACAUGCAAGCCGAACGGUAACAGGAAACAGCUUGCUGUUUCGCUGACGAGUGGCGGACGGGUGAGUAAUGUCUGGGAAACUGCCUGAUGGAGAGGAUAACUACUGGAAACGGUAGCUAAUACCGCAUAACGUCGCAAGACCAAAGAGGGGGACCUUCGGGCCUCUUGCCAUCGGAUGUGCCCAGAUGGGAUUAGCUAGUAGGUGGGGUAACGGCUCACCUAGGCGACGAUCCCUAGCUGGUCUGAGAGGAUGACCAGCCACACUGGAACUGAGACACGGUCCAGACUCCUACGGGAGGCAGCAGUGGGGAAUAUUGCACAAUGGGCGCAAGCCUGAUGCAGCCAUGUCGCGUGUAUGAAGAAGGCCUUCGGGUUGUAAAGUACCUUCAGCGGGGAGGAAGGGAGUAAAGUUAAUACCUUUGCUCAUUGACGUUACCCGCAGAAGAAGUACCGGCUAACUCCGUGCCAGCCGCCGCCGUAA
rnacentral:rRNA from 1 species